GAUGAACGCUGGCGGCGUGCCUAAUACAUGCAAGUCGAGCGAACAGACGAGGAGCUUGCUUCUCUGACGUUAGCGGCGGACGGGUGAGUAACACGUGGAUAACCUACCUAUAAGACUGGGAUAACUUCGGGAAACCGGAGCUAAUACCGGAUAAUAUACUGAACCGCAUGGUUCAAUAGUGAAAGACGGUUUUGCUGUCACUUAUAGAUGGAUCCGCGCCGCAUUAGCUAGUUGGUAAGGUAACGGCUUACCAAGGCAACGAUGCGUAGCCGACCUGAGAGGGUGAUCGGCCACACUGGAACUGAGACACGGUCCAGACUCCUACGGGAGGCAGCAGUAGGGAAUCUUCCGCAAUGGGCGAAAGCCUGACGGAGCAACGCCGUGUGAGUGAUGAAGGUCUUCGGAUCGUAAAACUCUGUUAUUAGGGAAGAACAAAUGUGUAAGUAACUAUGCACGUCUUGACGGUACCUAAUCAGAAAGCCACGGCUAACUACGUG
rnacentral:rRNA from 1 species